rnacentral:snoRNA from 1 species
ACCGUGUGAUGAACAGUAUAUUUCAAUCAGUUCUGCUACUGAAGCAAAUUGAAGACAACCAUAUACCAGCUUACCAAUUUUUCUGACCU